GAUGAACGCUGGCGGCGUGCUUAACACAUGCAAGUCGAACGAAGCUCUCUUGCCGGAUCCCUUCGGGGUGAAGAUAAGAGAUGACUGAGUGGCGGACGGGUGAGUAACGCGUGGGUAACCUGCCCUAUACAGGGGGAUAGCAGUUGGAAACGACUGAUAAUACCGCAUAAGCGCACGGCAUCGCAUGAUGCAGUGUGAAAAACUCCGGUGGUAUAGGAUGGACCCGCGUCUGAUUAGCUAGUUGGUGAGGUAACGGCCCACCAAGGCGACGAUCAGUAGCCGACCUGAGAGGGUGACCGGCCACAUUGGGACUGAGACACGGCCCAAACUCC
rnacentral:rRNA from 1 species